rnacentral:lncRNA from 1 species
CUACAACAUCUGACAUAAUAAAACAACAUUGUAAAAUAUUUACCUUGAAAAGUAUUUCAAAAGUUUUCCAUAUUAUUUAAAUUUAAAAAACAUUCCCUAUACCAAGAAAAAAUAUUUUACACAAUGUAAAACAUCUCAAAUGUCAAAAGUAAAUUUUCAAAACAUAAAUCACAAAAUGUGAAAAGAUAUUGCAUCAACAAAAAGGUUGAUCAAAUUAAAUGAAUUCCAACAAAAUAAUACAAUCUACAUGUACAUCAUUCUACAUCAUGAUUACACACUAUAUCCAUAAUAUGAAAAAUUCAAUUUUAAAAGAAACACUGUAAUUAUCUCCCUUGAUCCCAAAUUAAACAACAUCUUAAUUCAGCAUUUAUCUACAAAAACACAUGUAUUAUGCCAGGAAAUUUUUGGUUAGUACAUUUUGUAUUUUA